UGGGGGAUCGUCUAACGGUAGGACAGCGGACUCUGACUCCGUCAAUGCUGGUUCGAAUCCAGCUCCCCCAG
rnacentral:tRNA from 2 species